rnacentral:rRNA from 1 species
UACGUAGGGGGCAAGCGUUGUCCGGAUUUAUUGGGCGUAAAGAGCGUGUAGGCGGUUUGGUAGGUCCGCUGUGAAAACUCGAGGCUCAACCUCGAGACGCCGGUGGAAACCAUCAGACUAGAGUCCGGAAGAGGAGAGUGGAAUUCCUGGUGUAGCGGUGAAAUGCGCAGAUAUCAGGAAGAACACCCGUGGCUAAGGCGGCUCUCUAGUACGGUACUGACGUUGAGACGCGAAAGCGUGGGGAGCGAACAGG